CCCAGACCUCUGAUUGGAUGAUUGAAUCCAAACAAUAACAAAUACAUAACCUCUUCUGUCGUUAUGAAGUUUGAAAAUCUUCGUCUUCCUCGGGUAUUUCGCGUGUUAUCAUCUAGUCAGUAUCUUGUCUUUUGAGCAUUUUAUUAAGCAUUUUCAGCCUCAGUCUUUUCACAUGUAACAGGAAUCGACUGAUAAGUUUCUUAUGGAAUGAUUGUAGUGAUGUAAGUGAUUUUUUUUUAUGAAAAUUCAAGAUACAUUCCCUUGGGUUGAGGACACACUUCUGUAAGGUACUUAGGAACAACUGAGCCAUGAAUACCAAUUUCAAACCUCUCGACGGAAAUUUGUCGGACCGCGGAACAGAUGAGCACCUAGACUCUUCUGUAUCAGGUGACUCGUCGGGACUCUAUGGGUAUUAUCGAAAAUACCAUAUCGAACAAUCCAUCGAACAUACUUUUAAAAAUGGCAAAUUUAAAAGUCGUUUGGGUAAGAGGAGAAACACAAUGAAUCCAUUUAGAGUCUCUACUAAUAUGUUAGAAUCACCAAGCGAAAGAAGUAACUCAGGCAAUAAAACUGCAGAAAUUUGCUUGCCACCAAUGAAUUUAGUUGAAACUCCACCCAAACUUGAGCCUUUUCCUAGUCCUCCGCAGCUCCAUAAUCCAGAAGCUGGGAAUUCAUUGGUGGAAUCAGCUCCUCCAGCGAUGCAUCAGUCAAAUAAUACCUCGCCUCAAGAAACUUCGGGCAAAGACAUGGAUUGGGUAUUGGAUUUAUCAGUGGAUAAUCGUCCCAAAGGAACUAAUGCAAAUCUAUUGAACACCACUGUCAACACUGCCUCCUUCAAGCCAAUCUGUAAUUCUUCGGUCAUUGGUGAAAUAGAGUACAAAACAAAUAAAGAAAACGAAGUACCCAUAGAACCAAAAUGGCUAGGGCAAGAAAUAUUCAAAAUGCCAACCACGGAAACUGCUCCCAUGAGAGUGCCCGUUCCGAAUCCUUUCAAAAAAGUAGCACAGCCUUCAGCUAAGAGUAAGUUUGGUUUUGGUUUGCCUUGCACUACCUCACAACCGCAAAUUAUGAAUCCUAACCUUGUCUCACCAAAGUUGAAUCCACAGCAGUUGAAUAAACCCUGCUCAUUUGCAUCAGAGGUUGCCAAGUCUUCUGAAAAAGAAGGUGAGCCAAAGGUGACGGUCAAAAACGCCCCACAGCCAUGUCCUAAGUGUAUCAAAGUGAACAAUAGAUCCUACACUAUUCAUAGCACCAUUGGAAAAGGAGGAUCUAGUGAAGUCUACAAGGUUGAGAAUCCUGGCAGCAAAUCGUUCCUAGCUGUUAAAGUUGUAAAGUUAGCAGCAGUGGAUGAAGCAAUUGCGGAAGGCUAUAUGAACGAAGUUAAACUCCUAGAAAAAUGUCAAGACUGCUCAAGCGUUAUUCGCAUGUUGAUUAGUAAGUUCAGAAAUUCUUUAAAAUAUUUAUUCUCUGUCCCGAAAAGAAAACAUGCCUUGCAUUGCUUACAGAAAUUAACUUAGAAAGAAAAUAAGUAGCAAACUCUU
rnacentral:lncRNA from 1 species